rnacentral:rRNA from 1 species
GUUGUAUAGUCAAGUAAUUAAGUGCAUGUGGUGGAUGCCUUGGCAGUCAGAGGCGAUGAAAGACGUGAUAGCCUGCGAAAAGCUCCGGGGAGGCGGCAAAUAUCCUUUGAUCCGGAGAUGUCUGAAUGGGGGAACCCACCUACUUUAAGGUAGGUAUUGCAACAUGAAUACAUAGUGUUGCAAGGCGAACGAGGGGAAGUGAAACAUCUCAGUACCCUUAGGAAAAGAAAUCAAUUGAGAUUCCCUCAGUAGCGGCGAGCGAACGGGGAUCAGCCCAUUAAGUUAUGUGUGUUUUAGUGGAACGCUCUGGGAAGUGCGAACGUAGAGGGUGAUAUUCCCGUACACGAAAGGGCACACAUAAUGAUGACGAGUAGGGCGAGGCACGUGAAACCUUGUCUGAAUAUGGGGGGACCAUCCUCCAAGGCUAAAUACUCCUGACUGACCGAUAGUGAACCAGUACCGUGAGGGAAAGGCGAAAAGAACCCCUGUGAGGGGAGUGAAAUAGAUCCUGAAACCGCAUGCAUACAAGCAGUGGGAGCACCUUCGUGGUGUGACUGCGUACCUUUUGUAUAAUGGGUCAGCGACUUAUAUUCAGUAGCGAGGUUAACCGUAUAGGGGAGCCGUAGAGAAAUCGAGUCUUAAUAGGGCGUUUAGUUGCUGGGUAUAGACCCGAAACCAGGCGAUCUAUCCAUGAGCAGGUUGAAGGUUGGGUAACACUAACUGGAGGACCGAACCCACUGUCGUUGAAAAGCCAGGGGAUGACUUGUGGAUAGGGGUGAAAGGCUAAUCAAGCCUGGUGAUAGCUGGUUCUCCCCGAAAGCUAUUUAGGUAGCGCCUCGGACGAAUACCAUAGGGGGUAGAGCACUGUUUCGGCUAGGGGGUCAUCCCGACUUACCAAACCGAUGCAAACUCCGAAUACCUAUGAGUACUAUCCGGGAGACAGACUGCGGGUGCUAACGUCCGUAGUCAAGAGGAAAACAAUCCAGACCGCCAGCUAAGGCCCCAAAAUCAUAGUUAAGUGGGAAACGAUGUGGGAAGGCAUAGACAGCUAGGAGGUUGGCUUAGAAGCAGCCACCCUUUAAAGAAAGCGUAAUAGCUCACUAGUCGAGUCGGCCUGCGCGGAAGAUGUAACGGGGCUAAAACUAUGUGCCGAAGCUGCGGAUGUAUACUUUGUAUACGUGGUAGGGGAGCGUUCUGUAAGCCGAUGAAGGUGUGUUGAGAAGCAUGCUGGAGGUAUCAGAAGUGCGAAUGCUGACGUGAGUAACGACAAAACGGGUGAAAAACCCGUUCGCCGAAAGACCAAGGGUUCCAGUCCAACGUUAAUCGGGGCUGGGUGAGUCGACCCCUAAGGCGAGGCCGAAAGGCGUAGUCGAUGGGAAAAUGGUUAAUAUUCCAUUACUUCUGUGUAAUGCGAUGAGAGGACGGAGAAGGCUAAAUCAGCCUGGCGUUGGUUGUCCAGGUGAAAGGAUGUAGGCAUGUAUCUUAGGCAAAUCCGGGGUACUCUAUGCUGAGAUCUGAUAGCAAGCUGUAC